UGUUAUCAUUAUCAUUAUAAAAGCUUAAACACAAGUUAUAUUACUUUCUUACAAAAUAAUUCACUUUUCAUCUAAACAAACAUAUUCAAUUUCUCCUUCUCAAUUUGUUCUUUCAUUGAAAACCAUAGAGAAUAUGCUGCAUGAUGGUUACAUCUAUUCUACAAUUUGAGCUCAACAAUGUUGAUGGCUUUCACAACUUUCCUAUUGAGAGUCCAAAAGGUAUCAUCAUUCAUAAUUUUUUGUUUAACAAGCAAAUUUUUUUAUUUUUUUUUACAAUGUUUGAGGG
rnacentral:lncRNA from 1 species